GCUCCUACCGAUUGAGUGAUCCGGUGAAUUAUUCGGACUGACGCAGUGCCCAGCUUCUGGACGUUGCGUUGGAAAGUUUCAUGAACCUUAUCACUUAGAGGAAGGAGAAGUCGUAACAAGGUUUCUGUAGGUGAACCUGCAGAAGGAUCAAGAUAGGAAGGGAGGCGUGUAGGGUAAGAGUGGAGAUCUCGGUGGGCGCCGCAUCAUAAAAAAAAAAAUAAUAAGCAACGUUAUAUGCAGCAUCCUACAUCUAACUAUCUAAUCACUGCCCACAUAU
rnacentral:misc_RNA from 1 species